AUGUAUCUAUCUAUCUAUCUAUCUAUCUAUCUAUCUAUCUAUCUAUCUAUCUAUCUAUGUCUAUCUAUCUAUCUAUCUAUCUCUAUAUACAUAUCUAUCUUUCUGUCCCUCUAUCCCUCUAUCUAUCUAUAUAUCUAUCUAUAUCUCUCUACCUAUCUAUCUAUCUCUCUCUCUAUCUCUAUCUAUCUCUCCUCCCUCUCUCUCUGUGAUCUGCAUUGGAUAUCCAGAAAGGGCACAUAA
rnacentral:rRNA from 1 species